CAGGGGGAGGGACCGGGAGGUCCCGGAGCCCGGAGCGUGACCGGGGAGGAGGGAGCCGGGCAGCCACGGCGGCCUCGUGCUCAGCCUGUGCCCGCCCAGGGAACCGGAGCCUCCAACUAACUCCGCCCGCCGCCCGCGGGCUGGGGCUUCCGUCCCGUCCCGUCCCGGAGAGAGCCUGCGGCCGCCCGCGCAGGCUAUCCAGAUGAGUGUGGGAUUGUUACAAAGCAAGGAAUCACCUAUCCAUUCACUCAUGAAUUCCACACGUGAUAGAGCACCUGCCAUCUGCCAGUCAUUUUUCUGGCGGAGAGAGGUGUGUCAGUGUACCAAGCAGCAGCAGUAACAGCAGGCCACUGUUAGUCCAUGCUCAAGACAUGCUAGCCAUUGCUAUGGAGUGAUAAAAAGCUCUGCC
rnacentral:lncRNA from 1 species